rnacentral:lncRNA from 1 species
CUUUUUUUUUUUUUUUUUUUUUUUUUUUGGCUCUGUCCAUGGCAUGUGGAAGUUCCCGGGCCAGGGAUCAGACCCAAACCAUGGCAGGGACAAUGCCAGAUCCUUCUCUGCUGUGCCACAAGGCAACUCCCCAAGUUCAGUAUUUAUUCCUCUUACAGUUCUGUGUGUGAGGUGACUUCUGCCUAACCCUGCAUAUUGGUGAAUUCUGCUUAGUGUCAGGGCCCAAGGCAGUCUGGGAUUAAGACAGUCCUGCUGGCCUCAUUAUCUCGGGUCUAAAACAGUUACCCUGAGUCAUUUUAGUAGUUUACCUCUUCAGAUUGGUUAAUAUGAUGCAUCAGACUAUGUUGGGCACUUGGCCCCUUGCCUAUGACUACUUGUCUCAAGUUUCCACACCACAUUGGACAGCAAGCCAGAUUUGGAAAUUAGGCUUAUUUUUAUGGUGGGGUUUUUUGGGGGCGGGGAGGUGGGGUGGGAAGGACAGAUACAAGUGCCUUAUUUGUUUCCUAGCCAGAUUUUUGUUCCCCAUUCUUAAAGUCCCAUGGAGUAGCCAUCUACUAUCCUUUGGGCUUUGGAAUCUUCUCUGCGAGUGUUUUCACAGUAGCUAGGCUGUCUUUGUGUAUAGAUUCAGCACAGUUCUGCUAAAGCCAGAGAGUCAGACAGGUGUUAUUGGUAAAUUAAUACUUGAGUCAUGACUUAUUCUAUAUUUAUGUGUUUGUGUUUUUGUCUUUUUUUUUUUUUUUUUUUUUUUUUUUUUUUGAGGGCUGCCCCCUCGGCAUGUGGAGGUUCCCAGGCUAGGGGUCUAAUAGGAGCUGCAGCCACCGGCCUAUGCCACAGCCACAGCAACACCAGAUCUGAGCCACGUCUGCAACCUACACCACAGUUCAUGGCAAUGCCGGGUCCUUAACCCACUGAGCGAGGCCAAGGAUCGAACCUGCAACCUCAUGGUUCCUAGUCAGAUUCGUUUCUGCUGUGCCACGACGGGAACUCCUGUUUAUGUGUUUUUAAAAUAUACUUUAUAUAUGGGAAAAUGUACCUUUUAAAAACGUGGAGUCCUGGAUAUUGUGACAAACACGCUCAGCUGUUUGACCACCACUGCAGUCAUGAUAUGGGACAUCUCUGUUACCCCCAAGGUUUCUUUGUGCUCCUUGCAGCCAGCGCCUCCUCCCGCACCCCAAUCCUAGGCGGGCCAUCCAUCAGUUCCCCGUCCCUGCAACCACAAGGCCAUAGGGACGAAUUGUCCAGUAUGGAGCCUUUGGAGUCUGGCUGCUCUUGCUGGCUGUGGUGCCUGGGAGUCAUCCAUGUCACUGUGUUGUGCGUAGGGCAUUGUCUUUAUUGCUGAGAGGUACUCUGCCAGCGUGUACCAGAGUUUAUUUAUCCGUUCACCAACUGAAGGACAUUUGGAUUAUUCAGUGUUUGGUAGUGAUGGAUAAAGCCACGUAAACAUUUGCAUACACAUUUUUGUUUGAACAUAAUUUUUCAUUUCUCUUGCUGAAUUCCUGGUGGUGGGACUGCAUGCUAUGGUAAUGAAUGCUUCACUUUACAAGAAUCUGCCAAACUGUUUUCCGAGGGGGCCCUACCGUUUCGCAUUCCAAACAGCAAAUGUCUGAGUUUCAGUUACUUUGUGUCCUCACCAGUACUUGGUGUUAGCUCUUUUAAGUCAUGUUAAUAGCCAUGUACUGGACAGUCAUUUUAAUUUUUAUUAUUUUAUUUUAUUUUUAUUUUUUUGUCUUUUUGCCAUUUCUUGGGCCACUCCCGCGGCAUGGAGGUUCCAAGGCUAGGGGUCAAAUCGGAACUGUAGCCACCAACCUACACCAGAGCCACAGCAAUGCGGGAUCUGAGCCACAUCUGCAACCUACACCACAGCUCAUGGCAACUCCGGAUCCUCAACCCACUAAGCAAGGCCAGGGAUCAAACCCGCAACCUCAUGGUUCCUAGUCGGAUUCGUUAACCACUGAGCCACGAUGGGAACUCCUGGACAGUCAUCUUGAGUGACAGUCAUCAUACUAGUAAUGACAAUAGAAGCACAGCAGGCAUUGGUACAGGUAGUAAUAGUAGUUCUCACUUAGACGGUAGCUACUCUGAGCCAAGGACUGUUCUAAGUUCUCCUACUGUAUUCACUCGUGAGUAAUACUCAGAACUCCUGAGAUAGGUGCUCUGAUCAUUGUCGGGAUUUUACAGAGAUGGGGAAACGGAGCCACUGUCCAAGGUCACACGGGUAAUGAGUGGCGGAGCUCGGAUUUAUUUAAGCCCAGGCAGAACACUGACCGUAGAGACUGUGUUCUCAACUUUCUGUUCUAAGCCUCUCACCACACUACGUUCUCCUGACUGUAAAACAGGGCAGGAAGACAGCUGUGAAGAAAAGGUGAAAACAUUUUAAAGUCAAGCUACCACAGCCACAGCAACACCGGAUCCAAGCCAUGUCUUCGAUAGGCCACAGCUCAUGGCAGCGCUGGAUCAUUAACCCACUAAGGGAAGCCAGGGAUCAAAUCCACAUCCUUAUGGAAACUAGUCGGAUUUAUUACCACUGAGCCACAAUGGGAACACCUCCUGUCUGUUUUUUUAAAGAGACCGUUCAAUAUAUUGAGUCUAUAUUUAUGUGUAAAGACAGUAUUUAUAAAGUUAGUAUCAUACACUUUGCUUUCUGAUUUUUUUUUACUUAAUUUUCCUGUUUUCCUCUGUCAUUCAGUAUACUUUGAAAAUAAACUUUCUGACAUUUGAAUAAUGUGUCAUCAUUUGCAUGUGCUCUUAUAUAUGUGUGUCUAUAUAUACACAUACACACACAUAGGCACACAUAUGUACAUACGUGCACAUAUUUGGGGUAGAGUUCUCAGUAGAUUGUUACUUUCUAAUUACUGUUGAAUGCCUGAGGGUAGCUUGUGAGUCUGUGCUAACAUGUGCAGUAGUCCUCCGAUCUCCAACACCCUCUGUGGGUGCCUGACACCACAUACAGUGUCAAACCCUGUAUGUCCCUGGGGCGGGUUGCAGUGCUUUCUCCCCACCCCUGUCACCUGUCCCAUCGGAGUCUGGGUAACUUUACAACCAGCCCUCUGUAUUCAGGUUUCCACAUCUGCAGAUUCAACCACCUGGGGAUUUCGUAGGACUAUAGUAUGUGUUUAUUGGAAAAAAUCUGCCUCUAAGUGGACUUGCGCAGUUCAAACCCCUGUUGUUCAAGGGCCACCUGUGCUGCUUUUUUCUUUACUGAUGGAUGGAUGGUGUAUGCAGCUUGGAUAUGCUGGACAGUGGGAUGAUUCAUGUCCAGGGUGGGUGGGUGUGAGAUUCCAUCAGCUCUUCAGAAUGGUGGUCAAUUUAAAACUUAGGACUUGCUUAUUUCUGAAAUUUUCCAUUUGGUAUUUUCAGACCACGGUAACUCAGGAAAGUGAAACCAGGGAUAAAGGGGGACUACUGUGUAUGUUUGUUGCUAGACAUAGUUUCUGCCCUCAAGGAACUCACAGUCUGGUUUGGAGAUAGAUACAUUUAAAAAAAAAAAAAAAAA